rnacentral:lncRNA from 1 species
GAAUUGGUAAAUGCUUUUUGCUGCAAUCAGUAAAAAUCUUGCUUACUCUUGCUCCUAUACCUUUUCCAUGAGAACAGGCCUAGGCCAAUCGGCUGGAGGAUGAAACACAUAGAACAAAAGCCAUGUUGAUCAGGCAGUCAUGCCAACUGAGGUCAUCCUAGACCAACGCAUAGUCAGUCAACUCCCAGACAUAAGAGCCUAAACCAGAAGAAUUGCCCAGCUGAACCCAGCCUAAACUUCCAACUUCCAGAUUUGUGAAUUUGGAACCAUCUUCAGAAUCAGGUUGCCGUGCAGUCUGUCAAUGUAUUGUAACUGAGACCUGCAAGAGCUCUUCUCACACCUGGAAACAUCAUGGUGACAUUGUGUCUGCCACCAGCUCCAGCCCCAGGAAAGUAGCAUGUGAGGACAGGUGUGGCUGGUUAUCUUCCCAAUGCCUGGUUAAGGCAUAAUAAAAAUCAGAUGCUGUUGGUGUGGAACAGGG